rnacentral:rRNA from 1 species
UACGAAGGGUGCAAGCGUUAUUCGGAAUUACUGGGCGUAAAGCGUGCGUAGGCGGUUGGCUAAGUCAGAUGUGAAAGCCCUGGGCUCAACCUGGGAAUGGCAUUUGAAACUGGCCGGCUAGAGUGUGAUAGAGGAUGGCGGAAUUCCCGGUGUAGCGGUGAAAUGCGUAGAGAUCGGGAGGAACAUCCGUGGCGAAGGCGGCGAUAUGGAGCAACACUGACGCUGAGGCACGAAGGCGUGGGGAGCGAACGGG